UACAGAGGUCCCAAGCGUUGUUCGGAUUUACUGGGCGUAAAGGGAGCGUAGGUGGCAUUCUAAGUCUGAUGUGAAAGCUCUGAGCUUAACUCAGAAAUGGCAUUAGAAACUAGUUUGCUAGAGGAUUGGAGGGGAGAUUGGAAUACUUGGUGUAGCAGUGAAAUGCGUAGAUAUCAAGUGGAACACCAGUGGCAAAGGCGAAUCUCUGGACAAUUCCUGACACUGAUGCUCGAAAGCUAGGGGAGCAAACGGG
rnacentral:rRNA from 1 species